UACGUAGGGGGCAAGCGUUGUCCGGAUUUAUUGGGCGUAAAGAGCGUGUAGGCGGCUUGGUAGGUCCGCUGUGAAAACUCGAGGCUCAACCUCGAGAUGUCGGCGGAAACCACUUGGCUAGAGUCCGGAAGAGGAGAGUGGAAUUCCUGGUGUAGCGGUGAAAUGCGCAGAUAUCAGGAAGAACACCCGUGGCGAAGGCGGCUCUCUGGGACGGUACUGACGCUGGGGUGCGAAAGCAUGGGGAGCGAACAGG
rnacentral:rRNA from 1 species